CUUCCAACUCUAUGAUUCUAUGAUUCUGAAAAUAAACAAAAAAAGAGAACAAUUGUUCUAGGGAAUGGUCGGAAAGGAAAGGCUACUAUUCGUAUUGGAUUUGCAUCAAAAAAAGUUCAUAAGUCCUGAUAAGGUAACUUCAUGUGAUCUAGAGCUACGCACCAAAGCCAUUGCCCCCAGGUUCAUGUGGAUUCCUGCCUUGGCGGACUGCAGAAUGUGCAAAACAGCACAGGGCUUCAUCAGUGAAUAAUAUCCAUGAGUUGCCACUGCAGAUUCAGGCUGGUAUUCUUUUGAAAGUUACUGUGGAAAGUGCUUCUACAUCUGAAAUUGAAGAGACAGAUGAUGCUGUAGAUGACGACUGUGAUACUGAUGCUACAAAAUCUCCAGAAAUAAUUAACUUAAAACAGCACCAUCAAUUACAGAUAGACUAUAAAGAGUGUCAACUCAGAUUAAAAGAAGAGUGAAAAGCAAUAGUGACAGCUGAAGAACAUGUAAUG